rnacentral:rRNA from 1 species
AUUGAACGCUGGCGGCAGGCCUAACACAUGCAAGUCGAACGGUAACAGGAAACAGCUUGCUGUUUCGCUGACGAGUGGCGGACGGGUGAGUAAUGUCUGGGAAACUGCCUGAUGGAGGGGGAUAACUACUGGAAACGGUAGCUAAUACCGCAUAACGUCGCAAGACCAAAGAGGGGGACCUUCGGGCCUCUUGCCAUCGGAUGUGCCCAGAUGGGAUUAGCUAGUAGGUGGGGUAACGGCUCACCUAGGCGACGAUCCCUAGCUGGUCUGAGAGGAUGACCCGCCACACUGGAACUGAGACACGGUCCAGACUCCUACGGGAGGCAGCAGUGGGGAAUAUUGCACAAUGGGCGCAAGCCUGAUGCAGCCAUGCCGCGUGUAUGAAGAAGGCCUUCGGGUUGUAAAGUACUUUCAGCGGGGAGGAAGGGAGUAAAGUUAAUACCUUUACUCAUUGACGUUACCCGCAGAAGAAGCACCGGCUAACUCCGUG